rnacentral:rRNA from 1 species
UGGGGAAUAUUGCGCAAUGGGCGAAAGCCUGACGCAGCAACGCCGCGUGAGUGAUGAAGGCCUUCGGGUCGUAAAGCUCUGUCGGAGGGAACGAAUGCUCCUGAAGUUAACAGCCUCAGGAGGUGACGGUACCCUCAAAGGAAGCACCGGCUAACUCUGUGCCAGCAGCCGCGGUAAUACAGAGGGUGCAAGCGUUGUUCGGAUUCAUUGGGCGUAAAGAGCUCGUAGGCCGCUCUGUAAGUCGGAAGUGAAAGACCACGGCUCAACCGUGGAAACGCUUUCGAAACUGUGGAGCUUGAGGCCGGGAGAGGAGAUCGGAAUUCCUGGUGUAGCGGUGAAAUGCGUAGAUAUCAGGAGGAACACCCGUGGCGAAGGCGGAUCUCUGGACCGGUUCUGACGCUGAGGAGCGAAAGCUAGGGGAGCAAACAGGAUUAGAUACCCCAGUAGUCCCUGAGCGGGCUGGCAAGGCGCAU